GAUCACUUGGUGAAAUGGUAUCGCAUCACCUCCCGGUAUAGGGGCUUGGUGAGGUUGCGGGUUCGAUUCCCGUAGUGGUCU